CGAAAAUGUCAAAUGUAUUUAUUCAUAAAACAAAACAAACAAAUUCGAUACCAACUAAUAUUUUAUUUUACCAGUUCUUCAUACCUAUAUAGGUUUGUUUUUUAAUCGUUUGUGCUAAAACAAUAUGAGAAAUCGAUGCCAUGACCGCAAAGCGCAAACCAUCCGAAACCAUAUUUUGCUCUCGGUAAGCCUUCGCUGUGAAUAUUCUAAAACGGAUGGACACAAGGGUGGACAACGGAAGUGCGAAGUGGCUGUGAUGUGUUUGCUGACCAAAUGAAAUACCUAUUAUGCUUGCCAAGUUUGAGAAAAAGAAAAAAAUACCCAACGCACCUAUAGGCACCAGAGUGCUUGACGCCUAUCGGUAUGAAACUAAAUGGAAUCUUUCUGCCAGAUUAAGUAAUAAAAUUCUUGAACGAAAACGGAUGCAAAAUGGAUUUGGAACGGAUGAAUGUGGACCACGGAUAAUUUUACAGUUGCAAAUGUAAUCCAGACCAGGCGAUUUUUACCAGUUUCGAUGUAUUCCGUUCUGGUGAUCAUCGAAGGAACAAAACAUUACGUGACAUUUGAAGGCAACCACAGAAAAACGAAGCCAAAUUUUGUUAUCGUUGAUGCGAUGGGUCCUGGUCAACCAGAAAAGAGGUCAAGCGG